CACACACACUCAUAUACACACAGUAACGCACACACCCAUUUCGGAAAACAGAGGACGUGACGACAAGAUAGAGAGUUGAGCAGUCCCUCGUGAAUCGAAGUAUUUUGGGGAUUUACGGAGAUAGGUCACACUGACUAGCCACAUUGACUUUGA